rnacentral:misc_RNA from 1 species
GAUGAAGAACGCAGCGAAAUGCGAUAAGUAGUGUGAAUUGCAGAAUUCAGUGAAUCAUCGAAUCUUUGAACGCACAUUGCGCCCCUUGGUAUUCCAUGGGGCAUGCCUGUUCGAGCGUCAUUUGUACCUUCAAGCUUUGCUUGGUGUUGGGUGUUUGUCCCUCGGGACUCGCCUUAAAGUCAUUGGCAGCCAGUGUUUUGGUUUUGAAGCGCAGCACAAGUCGCGAUUCAAGGCUAUCCGCCCGCUUCCACAAGCCUUUUUCACUUUUGACCUCGGAUCAGGUAGGGAUACCCGCUGAACUUAAGCAUAUCAAAAGCGGAGGA